rnacentral:lncRNA from 1 species
AUUCUGAGUGCGUCCUGGCGAGUCUCAGCCCCCAAGCGGGUGGAACGCACCAAGGGUCUCAUCCGCGAGGAAGGGCUUUAACGCUCAGGGUCAGGAACCUCUGAGAGCUCUUGGGGACUUGCGCGCCCUUGGAUGCUCUUGCGUUCAACAGGGCUAGGAGACUACCGGCUGGGGCGAGGAAUGCAGGCGCCUAGAGCCUUGGAGCUCCUGAAACGUUCCUGCCGCCUCCGGAAAGCAAGGGCAGUUUACCGAAGUGACUGAGGCCAAGUAUUUGCAGCACGGGCAGGGACCAGUAACUGAUUUUCAGGCCUUUUGAGAGGAAGAGGAAGAGAGAGGAAGAGAAGGAUUUCUAAUAGUAGAUAUUCACUCUCAUGGACUCUUUAGGAAACAGCAACAAAGACAAGAUUAAGAACACCAAAUUGUGUGACUAUCCACACAAAAAAGCAUCUUCAUAAGAACCAAAAAUCAGAAGGAAUGAAAUAGAAAGAAUAAAGCUGAAGGACAUUUCAUUUAUGUUCAACUAGAAAUCCAAUAUAGUUUUAGGCAAACUAUAUUUUCCCUUGCAACUGUACUCCCUUACAUACAUGUAAGUGGGAAAGAAUAAAUGUGACAAACAAAAUAUCACUCCUGAUUCCACAAUCUAAACAAAACACUGCCUCUUUCUAGGUUUUGUUUUUUGGUUUUUGUUUGUUUGUUUUUUGGCAUAGGGUUGGGGUGUAUGCUUCUUGACGUACCUACAUAAUGAGGAAUACAAGGCUUUGUAUCUUUUAUCAGUAAUUAUUCAUAGCUUAAUUGUGUAAAUUGUAAAAUAUCACACUUUUAUAAUCUUAAUUUUUUUUUGUGGCUGCAGCUAUUAUUUGAAUAAACUGUAAUUAAUUAUUUUCCCUGAGCUGAAGAUUUCAUUUCUCCCCACACUAUCUGGAAUCAUGUUGCCCUGAACAUACUUGUGCAUAUUUUUCUACAUUUCUGAUUAUACU